CUAGCUAGCAUUAACAGCUAGCCACCGAAAAAUGACAACAAUCCUCCAGUAGCGGUGAAUCAACCAGACUCGACUAACAGAUAACAGCAUCAUCGCUCCGGCGAGGCCAACACAAUCGAUCAGGUCAGUGACUCACAGUGAGCAUCUCUCAGUGGAGUACUAGAGGCUCUGUCACUGAGAAGUGCUGUGUCAUUGGCUCGUGGUCUCACAUCAGUACGCUGAACACAUGAGAACAGGUGAGCUGGACUUUGAGGUGAACUCUGGAAGAAAACACUAAAGUGGAAGUAUGCUGUGACUACUAUUCUCUGCGCUGUGUCGUGGCGCUGAGCGGAUAGCUUCCUGCUUUGGCUGCUCAAAGAAGAACAGGACAGCAGCAGGAUGCCAGUACCCGUGUAAAGGGCUGAAUGUGUGGACAGUCUCUUGUGACGGAACAAAAACCUGUCCAAAACCAUCCUAAGUGGACCGAAGAGAUGUUCUCAUUUCCCCAUUGCUUUAUUUAUCCCUGAAGUUUAUUCCCCAGCAUCUGUAGUCGCUCUGUUCUUGUUUUAAUGAUGACCUGUCCGAAAACUCCUUGUCGGAGUUGGAUAAUGUCUGACGGCCGACAAGUGCAGCAGUGAUUAUACAGUCUACUGUCUGUGGGAAAUUAUUUGCAAUUUGGA